rnacentral:rRNA from 1 species
CAUACUCCUACGGGAGGCAGCAUUGGGGAAUUUUGGACAAUGGGGGAAACCCUGAUCCAGCCAUCCCGCGUGUGCGAUGAAGGCCUUCGGGUUGUAAAGCACUUUUGGCAGGAAAGAAACGUCAUGGGCUAAUACCCCGUGAAACUGACGGUACCUGCAGAAUAAGCACCGGCUAACUACGUGCCAGCAGCCGCGGUAAUACGUAGGGUGCAAGCGUUAAUCGGAAUUACUGGGCGUAAAGCGUGCGCAGGCGGUUCGGAAAGAAAGAUGUGAAAUCCCAGAGCUUAACUUUGGAACUGCAUUUUUAACUACCGAGCUAGAGUGUGUCAGAGGGAGGUGGAAUUCCGCGUGUAGCAGUGAAAUGCGUAGAUAUGCGGAGGAACACCGAUGGCGAAGGCAGCCUCCUGGGAUAACACUGACGCUCAUGCACGAAAGCGUGGGGAGCAAACAGGAUUAGAUACCCUGGUAGUCCACGCCCUAAACGAUGUCAACUAGCUGUUGGGGCCUUCGGGCCUUGGUAGCGCAGCUAACGCGUGAAGUUGACCGCCUGGGGAGUAUGGUCGCAAGAUUAAAACUCAAAGGAAUUGACGGGG